ACCAAAGCAUUAAGAAUCAUGUUUGCCACAGAAAAUGUGCAGCCUUUUUGCUGACUCUGUCUUUUGCCUGUGAGAGCGGCCUUUUACAAGAAGAGUUGAUGUCAUCAAGGGUGGUAACAGACCAUCAGCAUUUCUGCGAAAAAUGUGAAGGGAAUUCUGUGUUAGCUGGAUAAUAUGUGAUCGGGAGCUUUACUUAAGGGAAAAGCUGUGAGGCCAGCAGAUGUGUUUUCCUCUGUGGAACAAGUGCAUGAAGGACUGUAAUCUCCAGACUAACUUUUUUCUUUUAAUCCAGAUUGAGGAUCUUGUGCUGCAGAGGGAUUCAGUGAGCAACACACACAUGACGUCAGGUUGUUAAACCAUUUUUUGGGCUUGCUGUGGCACUUUAAUGUAAAAUGUAUCAAAGGAGGACCUCAUUUUUAAAGUUGCACUUAAAGCUUUACUCCUUACUGCUUUUGAUUUAGAGGAGGGCCUGGUUUCUUUUGUGAAAAAAAUGUAAAACUCCAGUCUCUAACCGUUUUGCAUUUGGUGUUUUUGUUCUCUUUGUCCGUUUUACUCUUUAAAAGCUGAGGCGGAUAAGGUUCAUGGAUGAUUGGUGACCGUUGAGACCACGAGCUGCUCCCACUCGCACAGGAUACAGACUAAAUGGAAUCCACCCACAUCCAGAUUUUGGCCUCAAAGUCCGGUUCAGCUGGUUCCAUGAGGGCUAACAAACUAACUGUGGGUGGGUUUCAAUUAAGUUGGCCUUGCAGACCAGGUUGAACCAGCUCCAUCCUUUGGACAUGCAGUCCUUCAGGCCUCCUUUGAUGAUCUCUAGGUUGGACCCGACGAGUGCCAGUAAGGCGGCAGCGCCGCCGUAUAAUUACCUGCUGGCAUCCAGGAAUGAGCUCUGAAAGAAGAAAAAGAAAAAAGGAGCCCUGCUGUGCCGUGACUCAGUCCUGGAAAAUGAAACAGGAGGAUGUUGGGGAUGCAGAGUGAUCAAAGGAGCUGGUCCGGGGAGAAAGGAGCACGGCAUAAUGCGGAGCAGACGAGAGGAUAACCUUGGAAACAGAUCGUAUUUGUGUCGUAGAAAAUGCGCUUCCCGCUCCGCUCCAUUCUGAUGCAUCCACUUGGAGACGGCUACAUCCCUGUACGUCUGAGCCCGCUGCCAGGUUGGGGGUGUGAGAGGCUGUAAGCAGCACUUGUAAACAGAGAGCUGUCAGUUAUGGGGUGAUGGGAAGGGGGGGUGGAGAUUCUCCUUGCCAAUGGUCACAACUCGGAGGUGAAUUUCUAAUGAACUAUUGCCGCUCUGCAGAAACUACGUUGUAGAAAUUGUCAGGUGCUUAUGGAUUUUUGGCUAAAAACUGCAUAAUCAUAUAUUAAAAUAGAUCCAAAAAAUGAUCAAAGUGGGUCUUUGAUGUGUUAAGUGAUCCAAAUGGCUGUGAUUUGAGUCCCGGUCCCCCUUUUGAAUCCCAUUUGUCCAUCCUUAGCAGCGUCAUGAAACACUGUUUGAUUUGACACAUUGAGGUUUUUGUAAAUGUGUCACGCUGCAUAUCUGCUCUUUUGUUGCAGGUGUACCGGCCGAGGUCGAUGUGUGCGGGCUUGUUAGCAUCUCUUUGUGGCUCUGUUCUCUGUCUCCGUGCACAUGGAGCUGCAGAGCUCCCAUCGUUGUCUGGCUUAACGCUCCGACAGGAGAAAAUAAUGGGGCUGAAGCUGCUGGGGAUGACAAAAGGGGCCAAAGCAUUUGGAAUGCCAUGACAUGUUUGUUCACUGUGAAGAUGUUUCUGCUCUUAAAUAAAAAAAAAUAUGCCGCACAGGAAGACA